GGAAGCUGCUGGAAACAUACAUUCAGCUCUUCUCAAAUGCAUUAGCGCGAAUAUUUAUCAAGUGUUCUCCAGUGUAAUAAUUAUCUGCGCUGCCGAAUCUUUGAUGAGAUUUAUGUGUUCGUGCUUCAAAUGGUUUCCAUAGUGGAACAAAUUUUUUUGCAUUUGACCUCAAAUCAGGCAGGACUACCCGCUGAACUUAA
rnacentral:misc_RNA from 1 species